rnacentral:rRNA from 1 species
UGCAAGUCGAGCGGUAAGGGUUCCACAGUUUAUUUGACCAGAUAAGUUCCUGAUAAGGGAAUACUGUCUGCAGCAAUGUUUCCGGCUGGAAGCAUAGUCGAAUGAAGUGUGGAAUUACACGAGCGGCGGACGGCAGAGUAACGCGUAGGAACGUACCCCAAAGUGAGGGAUAAGCACCGGAAACGGUGUCUAAUACCGCAUAUUCUCUUCGGAGCAAAGCUACGGCGCUCUGGGAGCGGCCUGCGUAUGAUUAGUUAGUUGGCGGGGUAAAGGCCCACCAAGACGACGAUCAUUAGCUGGUCUGAGAGGAUGAUCAGCCUGACUGGAACUGAGACACGGUCCAGACUCCUACGGGAGGCAGCAGUAGGGAAUUUUCCGCAAUGGGCGAAAGCCUGACAGAGCAACGCCGCGUGCAGGAGGAAGGCCUUCGGGUUGUAAACUGCUUUUAACGGGGACGAUUAUGACGGUACCCGUAGAAUAAGGAUCGGCUAAUUCCGUGCCAGCAGCCGCGGUCAUACGGAAGAUCCGAGCGUUAUCCGGAAUUACUGGGCGUAAAGAGUUGCGUAGGUGGCAGGUAAAGCGAGCAGUGAAAGAUCCCGGCUCAACCGGGGGUACAUUGUUCGAACUCACCAGCUAGAGCAUGAGAGAGGUAGAUGGAAUUUCUAGUGUAGGAGUGAAAUCCGUAGAUAUUAGAAAGAACACCGAUGGCGUANGCAGUCUACUGGCUCAUUGCUGACACUAAGGCACGAAAGCGUGGGGAGCGAACGGGAUUAGAUACCCCGGUAGUCCACGCCGUAAACUAUGCUUGCUAGCUGUUAUCAGUAUCGACCCUGGUAGUAGCGAAGCUAACGCGUUAAGCAAGCCGCCUGUGGAGUACGAGCGCAAGCUUAAAACAUAAAGGAAUUGACGGGGACCCGCACAAGCGGUGGA